CUUGUGUUAGUUUUUUUGAAACCGUGCCGAAUAACAAUAAUGAUGAUGAUGUUCGAUUCGAACCCCCGGAACAGUGAACAUAAGAGAAGUGUCACUGUCGUCAUACCGAAGAAACACCAAACAACAAUGGUUUGUCUACGGAAUUCAAAUCAUCCGCGCGAUAUUCGUACCGGAAGCAUUCGGUGUUUAGCGGAAUUAUCACCGAGUUUCUAUACGUGUUCGUUUCAGACGAAACCGCCGAGUGCUCGAAGUAAAAUCGAGUUCUUGGACGAAGCCGGGCGCACGUGCGUUCGCGAGCACGUAACCAAAUUUUCAAGUCGAGUGUCUAUUUCCGAAUUCGGUCCGAGAACUUUUUCCAAAAAUGAGUGCGCAAGUA